AUUGAACGCUGGCGGCAGGCCUAACACAUGCAAGUCGAACGAGUGGCGGACGGGUGAGUAAUGUGUGGGAAACUGCCAGAUGGAGGGGGAUAAAUACUGGAAACGGUAGCUAAUACCGCAUAACAUCAGAUGUGCCCAGAUGGGAUUAGCUAGUAGGUGGGGUAACGGCUCACCUAGGCGACGAUCCCUAGCUGUUCUGAGAGGAUGACCAGCCACACGGGAACUGAGACACGGUCCAGACUCCUACGGGAGGCAGCAGUGGGGAAUAUUGCACAAUGGGCGCAAGCCUGAUGCAGCCAUGCCGCGUGUGUGAAGAAGGCCUUCGGGUUGUAAAGCACUUUCAGCGGGGAGGCGUUACCCGCAGAAGAAGCACCGGCUAACUCCGUGCCAGCAGCCGCGGUAAUAC
rnacentral:rRNA from 1 species